rnacentral:rRNA from 1 species
CAGUAGCCGCGGUAAUACGUAGGGUGCGAGCGUUAAUCGGAAUUACUGGGCGUAAAGCGUGCGCAGGCGGUUGUGUAAGGCAGGUGUGAAAUCCCCGGGCUUAACCUGGGAACUGCGCUUGUGACUGCACAGCUAGAGUAUGGCAGAGGGGAGUGGAAUUCCACGUGUAGCAGUGAAAUGCGUAGAGAUGUGGAGGAACACCGAUGGCGAAGGCAGCCCCCUGGGCCAAUACUGACGCUCAUGCACGAAAGCGUGGGGAGCAAACAGGAUUAGAUACCCCAGUAGUCCCUGUCUCUUAUAC